rnacentral:rRNA from 1 species
UAACCUACUAAAUAGUGCUGCUAGCUUUUGCUGGUAUAGUCACUUCUUAGAGGGACUAUCGAUUUCAAGUCGAUGGAAGUUUGAGGCAAUAACAGGUCUGUGAUGCCCUUAGACGUUCUGGGCCGCACGCGCGCUACACUGACGGAGCCAGCGAGUUUAUACCUUGGCCGAGAGGUCUGGGAAAUCUUGUGAAACUCCGUCGUGCUGGGGAUAGAGCAUUGUAAUUAUUGCUCUUCAACGAGGAAUUCCUAGUAAGCGCAAGUCAUCAGCUUGCGUUGAUUACGUCCCUGCCCUUUGUACACACCGCCCGUCGCU